CUUGCUUGUGGGCGUGUGUGCUGCGAGUUUGUAGUAUGUCGGUGAAUUUCUAAAUCCUCGUACGAAGACGUCAUCAGCGAUUCGUCGGACACAAGCUGGGCGCUGUUCGAUUAUGACAAACAGACGAACGACGUAAAAGUGAUUGAGACUGGAGGUCAGCUUUUUACGCAUGUAAACGUCGCAGGGAAUCGAGUUGACAGGACAACUGUAUGGGAGCAUCGAGGAGUUGGGCGAAGAGUUUAGCGGCAGUAAAAUACAAUACGGAUGGUGCAAAGUGACCGAUCCGAACACCAACCUGCCGUAGCUUGUUCUUAUCAACUGGUUUGGGGAGGCAGCACCGACAUCACGGAAAGGCGUCUGUCAAUGUCAUGUCAACGAUAUUGCCGGAUUUCUAAGGGGUGAUCACGUGACCAUCAAUGCUUGUCACGAAGGCGACGUGGAGGAGAAGGUCGUAUUGGAGAAAGUGUCGAAAUCAUCUGGAACUCGUUAUGGCUUCCACAAGGAAAAGGCCAGACCAGUGGAACGAUCCGGUCCAGUGUGAUUUGUGUGUUGCUUACAAGAAAGCCAACGUACGAGCUGAUAUUGAUGCAAACAAACGAGACAAGUUUUGGUCUGACCAAGAGAAACUUGAGAAGCAGCUCGUUCAAGAGGAACGUAAGGUAAAGUGAGGAAGCAAAGAAACGAGGCAGUGAAAUCAAAGAGAGGGAGGCAAGAGAGAGAUGACUUCAUGGAAAGAGGGAAGCUGAAUGUGCAUGAGCAAUUGAUGCACAGAAAAUUAAAGCUCGCAUGGAGCAGUUGGAUGGUGAAACUGAGAGGAAGAAGGAAGCGGCAAGCACACGAGGAAAGACAAAGGUUUAAGCAGCAGGGAACUGCAUCCAGUCAUCACUGUUCACGUGGCACUGGUCAUUGCUAUGAAUUGAUGUUCAUGCAUGUUGGUGUGGUUUGCAUGCAACAUGCUGCAGAGUAAGCUAAAACGUCUUGCAAAUGUAUUAUGGGAGACAUCAAGUGUCAGUUCUCAAAUGAAUCUAAUGUAGAUGAGUCUGUCUUAAAUACAAAGCAACUGAAGAUGAUAAGAGAGGACACGAGCAGUAGGUUGUAAGUCUAGUCCAUCAUCGAGUCGUGCAGUGGAUCAAGAGAAGCAACCAGUCAGCAGCCCAGCCAUCAGUUUGAAUAGUGGCAGAGUUUGCAAACGCAAAC